UACAGAGGGUGCAAGCGUUGUCCGGAAUCAUUGGGCGUAAAGAGCGUGUAGGCGGCCUUUUAAGUCCUGCGUGAAAUCCUGCGGCUCAACCGCAGACGGUCGUGGGAAACUGGAAGGCUAGAGUGCGGGAGAGGAGAGUGGAAUUCCCGGUGUAGCGGUGAAAUGCGCAGAUAUCGGGAAGAACACCCGUGGCGAAGGCGGUUGCCUGGAGCUUUGCUGACGCUGAGGCGCGAAAGCGUGGGGAGCGAUCCGG
rnacentral:rRNA from 1 species